rnacentral:lncRNA from 11 species
GUUUAUUUAAAUCUAAAUACCGUAAUUGGUCAGUUUAAAAGGAGACGAUGAAUCAAUACAAAAACUCUUUAAACAUUCAAUGGGCCAGCAGGGCUAAAGAGUCAAUACAGAGGCUUCCCUUUGCCUUGCGCUUUGGUCUGUGCCACUUGUACGCGCACGCCGCUGUCUUCCCCAGAUUUCUGCUUUUGACCCACAUCCUGAAGGAAUAAUGGCCUCUGCUUUCUAUGGGCUUUAGAGUACGCAGAAUGGAAAUGCCUAGCCAAAGAGCAGACAGAAGCAGGCCCGGGAAGGCAGGGAGCGCGUGGCCUUGAAAUACAAAGACAACUGUUGCUGCUACUAUUUGCUGCUACCAUCACCACCAGAUCCAGAAUUAGGAGGUUGGUGUGAGGACCUUGGCAUCGGGAGAAAGGACAUACUUUCCAGGGGAGCUGAUGCAAACAGGAGUACAGGAUGUAAGCUUGGACCAACUGGGUUGGUGUGCUGUGACAGAAUUAAAAAGAAGAAAGGGUGUUUCUUUGCACAGGUGAUACCAGGUCAGACAUGGGAUUUAAAUUAUUGUGUAAGGAACAGGGAGAUGGAGUUGAAGUGAAAACCUGAAAGAAUUGUUGCAUUUGAACACCCACUCAAAGCUUCUGUGUGCAGUUCAAAUAGAUUACAUGUUUUUGUACAGUAUUUUUCAA